AUGCAUGUCUAAGCAUAAACCGAAUAUGGUAAAGCCGCGAAUGGCUCAUUACAACAGCCAUAGUUUAUUGGAUCUUAGAGUCCUACUUGGAUACCUGUGGUAAUUCUAGAGCUAAUACACGCAAUCAAGCCCCAACCUGACGGGCGGGGCGCAUUUAUUAGAACAAAACCAAUUGGCUUCGGCCAUUCAUUGGUGAAUCUGAAUAACUACGCUGAUCGCACGGUCUCGCACCGGCGACGUAUCCUUCAAGUGUCUGCCUUAUCAACUUUCGAUGGUAGUUUACAUGACUACCAUGGUUGUAACGGGUAACGGAGAAUAAGGGUUCGACUCCGGAGAGGGAGCCUGAGAAACGGCUACCACAUCCAAGGAAGGCAGCAGGCGCGCAAAUUACCCACUCUCAGAACGAGGAGGUAGUGACGAAAAAUAACGAGACAGUUCUCUAUGAGGUCUGUCAUCGGAAUGGGUACAAUCUAAACCCUUUAACGAGGAUCUAUUGGAGGGCAAGUCUGGUGCCAGCAGCCGCGGUAAUUCCAGCUCCAAUAGCGUAUAUUAAAGUUGUUGCGGUUAAAAAGCUCGUAGUUGGAUCUGCGGUCACAGACGCCGGUUUCCUUCACGGAAUACUGGUUGUCUUGACCUACCUUACUGGUUUUCCCUUGUUGCUCUUUACUGAGUGACCUGGGUGGCUAGUACGUUUACUUUGAAAAAAUUAGAGUGCUUAACGCAGGCUUUUGCCUGAAUAGUGGUGCAUGGAAUAAUGGAAUAGGACCUCGGUUCUAUUUUGUUGGUUUUCGGAGCACGAGGUAAUGAUUAAGAGGGACAGACGGGGGCAUUCGUACUGCUGCGUUAGAGGUGAAAUUCUUGGAUCGCAGCAUGACGAACAACUGC
rnacentral:rRNA from 1 species